AGUUUUGUGGUGUAGUCGCACCCCAGAUUGCAAACCUGGUGGCGCAGGGUAACCUCUGCCGAAACUU
rnacentral:tRNA from 1 species